GCCUCCACUGGCCUCUGUCUUUUCAGCAAGUUUCCUGCAGCACCAAGAAUCUCCCCAGUGAACGUGAUGAAAGUUCUGACAUCAAUAUCCGUUCUGGAAUCUCAGAGGAAGAGAAAGCAGCAGUGAAAAAGCGGGAGGAGUCAGUCUUGACAACCCUGAAGAAGUUGGGCAUCAAUGCCGGAAAGGCUCCUGUGGUUUCUGUCCUGGUC